UCGGGAAUUUUGGACAAUGGGCGAAAGCCUGAUCCAGCCAUGCCGCGUGUGUGAAGAAGGUCUUCGGAUUGUAAAGCACUUUAAGUUGGGAGGAAGGGCAGUUACCUAAUACGUGAUUGUUUUGACGUUACCGACAGAAUAAGCACCGGCUAACUCUGUGCCAGCAGCCGCGGUAAUACAGAGGGUGCAAGCGUUAAUCGGAAUUACUGGGCGUAAAGCGCGCGUAGGUGGUUUGUUAAGUUGGAUGUGAAAGCCCCGGGCUCAACCUGGGAACUGCAUCCAAAACUGGCAAGCUAGAGUACGGUAGAGGGUGGUGGAAUUUCCUGUGUAGCGGUGAAAUGCGUAGAUAUAGGAAGGAACACCAGUGGCGAAGGCGACCACCUGGACUGAUACUGACACUGAGGUGCGAAAGCGUGGGGAGCAAACAGGAUUAGAUACUCGCGUAGUCCCUGAGCGGGCUGGCAAGGCGCAU
rnacentral:rRNA from 1 species